rnacentral:rRNA from 1 species
GACGAACGCUGGCGGCGUGCUUAACACAUGCAAGUCGAACGGGCCCGCCCCUGUUUUUGGGGGUGGGUUGAGUGGCGAACGGGUGAGUAUCACGUGAGUAACCUGCCCCCUGCUCCUGGAUAACUGCUUGAAAGGGCGGCUAAUACGGGGUGUGCCGGCUGGUCCGCAUGGGCCUGGUCGGGAUAGUUUCAUCUUCGGGUGUUUCGGUGGGGGAUGGGCUCGCGGCCUAUCAGCUUGUUGGUGGGGUGAUGGCCCACCAAGGCGGUGACGGGUAGCCGGCCUGAGAGGGUGGGCGGCCACACUGGGACUGAGACACGGCCCAGACUCCUGCGGGAGGCAGCAGUGGGGGGUAGUGCACAAUGGGCGGAAGCCUGAGGCAGCGACGUCGCGUGAGGGAUGGAGGCCUUCGGGUUGUGAACCUCUUUCUCCGGUGGUGAAGGCCCUGUCCGUUGCGGCGGGGUUGACGGUAGCCGGGGAUGAAGCGCCGGCUAACUACGUG